rnacentral:rRNA from 1 species
UACGGAGGGUGCAAGCGUUAAUCGGAAUUACUGGGCAUAAAGCGUGCGUAGGCGGUUCGUUAAGUCUGCUGUGAAAGCCCCGGGCUCAACCUGGGAAUGGCAGUGGAUACUGGCGAGCUAGAGUGUGAUAGAGGAUGGUGGAAUUCCCGGUGUAGCGGUGAAAUGCGUAGAGAUCGGGAGGAACAUCAGUGGCGAAGGCGGCCAUCUGGAUCAACACUGACGCUGAGGCACGAAAGCGUGGGGAGCAAACAGG